CCACAGACUUUAUUUGUAGAUAAGCUACCAUUGAAAAUGGUAGGAAAUUAUUCAAUACACUUCUACAAUUUUUUUGAAAAUAAAUUAAAAAUUUGUUUUGUACAUGUUUAUAUUAGUGUUAGAGAGUUUAUGGAAACCUAGCUCCUUUACCAAAUUUUCUUCUGUUUUAUUUUCCCUAUUUUGUAUAAUUAUAUCACAGUGUAAUAAAAACACUCAAAAAAGACUCAAAAAAUCAAUAUUUUAAUUUGUAAACUUUUUUACAAUUCUAAAAGCGAUGUAGAACAAUAAUUGUAAUGAGGGGAUUCACAGGUGGAUGAUGCAUGUGAGGUGUUGCUGCUACCUGUGGCUGUUGAAAAUGAGGGGAGGUUCUCCAUACCCAAACUAAGCGGGGUAGGAGCCAAGCCGGCAAGAAAAAUAUCAACAGGGUGCUGUGGAGGAUUGGUUGUGCUUAUUCUCGUUUUUUCUGCUUCUUUUUCGGCCAAUAUGUACGCCAUAAGUUGGCUCGAAGGAGAUUCGUGAGCAGGGUUUUCAAGAUUGGACCCUUUUAAGCCUUUUCGUUUGACGUUCACUGGCCUAGUAAAGUGGUGCUUUUUUCCAAGAGUGGCUUGCGUAGACGACGAUGAAUGAACUGGAGAAGUAGGCUGAACUAUAGUCUGAGAACUGGUACCAGGAUACUGCGAAACCUCGUUUAACCUCUGUCUCGGAAAUUAUUUUCCACACCCUUUCCUUGUAUUCGACAUGACGAUAUUUGGCAUCACUCUGAUCGUACAGAACAGGAAAUUUUCGCACUUCUUCAAUGAGUUUUUCGCUUUCCAUGUUGCACGAGGCCGCACCGUCACCGUUUCAUCGCUCUCAAGGCUGCCGCACUCACAAAGAAGCGAGUCUUUUAUUCCAAAACCAUGCAGUUUUUCAGCAAAAGCCCCAUGGCCCAGACAACCCAUCUCUGCUGCCACAAUCGGAGUGCCCAUUCUCUUGCUUCAGUCACCGAAAUAACUGGGAUUCCGGGGGAUUAUAACUUUAAAGAGGACAGCACGCUGGAGGACCUUCUGCGAAGCCACUGCUGUGUUAGAGAUGAAUUUCGCUCCUUUCGCCACCUUGAUACCAAGCCAUCAACUCAAGCUUGACUGACCUGCACCAACCCUGAACACUGCCGCUCUACUUUGGCGCUACAGCUCAGCUUUGGCAUUAUCAGAUAAGACAACCAUGAAGUCAUCCACGUAGGCUAUGACACGGAUGUUUUUGUGCUCCAAAAUCUUCAACUGGUCAUUGAACAGGACUCCCCACAGGAACGGGCCGAGUAUGGACCCCUGUGGUCUCCCAUCUGGACCUCCCUGAAGGUCGCCGUGACUCUCGAGAAUACUGUACUAUUGUCAACCGGCGCCUUCGCAACUGCACAACUGAUGUCAACCUCCAACGUGUUAAAAGAACUGCAGCAUUUCUUUGUUAAAUUCCAAAAAUUAACUUUUAACCCACUUUUCCCAAUUGUAAAGACUUUGUUUACCCCUCGUCACCCCCUACCUUUAUCGCCUGCUCUCUUUAUCUAACAGUCUGUUCAGUAUAAAAGAGUCACCAUCUCCGCGCUUAAAUCCAGGAAGGAAGGCUGUUUCACUUCAAAGGUCACCGAACGUGCCCAAUGUGGGAAACUUAAGACCUCACCGAUGGUCGCGUGUGAGGGAUGGUAUGGUACGCGUUACCUUUGACUCAAGGCUGCAAAUUGUGGUUUCCGACUCCCCCCAAUUUCUUUCCUUCGAAAAGGGGUGAUGUCCAGGAAUGACCCAGACAUUAAUAUCACCAGAAAAUAGACAUUAUUAGAAAUAAAUAAUAACAAGAGUAAGAGAGGUGGAGCGAUUGAAGAAAGGGACAGAGUUGAGGAGGAGUAAACAUCGCUGAUUCUGUCCUCUGUUCGUUGUUUCAUUUACUUUAAAAUAUAUUUUAAGUUUUGUUCUUGUGAA